CAGAGAUUUGAUCUCGUGUGGUGUGGUCCACGCGAUACAGGUACAGAUACAGAUACUCGGCACUGAUUGUUUUUUGAGUUUUGACUUUGGCGCAUCAUCACCUGGCUGGGUGCCAUUAGCAUUAGCCCCUCUCUAGAGCUGUCUCCAACAGCGAGCGGGGCACGGGGCACGUUCAAUGUAAAUUAGCCGAUGCAGGAAAUUAAAUGAUUUUUUAAUGUGCUGGAAAAAUUAUUACUACAAACAUGAUGAGAGAAGAGGCACAGCCAGAAGAGACUGAAAACCCCAGAGCAGAUCUCAAGUUGUUUCAUGGAGUGCUAUUGAAAUUUUAUUAUUCGGACUCGUGGCAAGGUCGCAGCAUUACGCGGCAGAAACGAAACACUUGUCGGUGAGGACGCAGCAGCAUCUCCUUUGGGCAUUACCCUACACUGGCAUCCGCACCCAUUCAUUAUCGGCUCAUUUAAUGGGGCGGGGCGGCAUCUGGCGUCUGGCCCGUGCAAAUUGUGAAAGUCCGCCCGUGCCAAAUAAUCGAAUAAUCAGCAGCGGCAACCACAACAAUGGAGCUAGAGCAAAAAUGUUUGCCAAAAAGUCAA